rnacentral:rRNA from 1 species
AUUGAACGCUGGCGGCAGGCCUAACACAUGCAAGUCGAGCGGAUGAAAGGAGCUUGCUCCUGGAUUCAGCGGCGGACGGGUGAGUAAUGCCUAGGAAUCUGCCUGGUAGUGGGGGAUAACGUCCGGAAACGGGCGCUAAUACCGCAUACGUCCUGAGGGAGAAAGUGGGGGAUCUUCGGACCUCACGCUAUCAGAUGAGCCUAGGUCGGAUUAGCUAGUUGGUGGGGUAAAGGCCUACCAAGGCGACGAUCCGUAACUGGUCUGAGAGGAUGAUCAGUCACACUGGAACUGAGACACGGUCCAGGCUCCUACGGGAGGCAGCAGUGGGGAAUAUUAGGCAAUGGGCGAAAGCCUGAUCCAGCCAUGCCGCGUGUGUGAAGAAGGUCUUCGGAUUGUAAAGCACUUUAAGUUGGGAGGAAGGGCAGUAAGUUGAUACCUUGCUGUUUUGACGUUACCAACAGAAUAAGCACCGGCUAACUUCGUG